rnacentral:SRP_RNA from 1 species
GCUGGGUACGGUGGCAUGUGUCUGUAGUCCCAGCUGCUUGAGAGGCUGAGGCAGGAGGGUUGCUUGAACCCAGGAGUUGCAGGCUGCUAUGAUGGUGUCCACAUUAAGUUCAGCAUGAAUAUGGUGUCCUCCUGGGAGCAGGGACCACUAGGUUGCCUAAGGAGGGUGAACCAGCCCAGUUCAAAACCAGAACAGGUCAAAACUCCUCUGCUGAUCAAUAGUGAGAUUGUGCCUGUGAACAGAGAAUAGUUCACACUCUGGAGAGCCACCGCACUCCAGCCUG